rnacentral:rRNA from 1 species
UGGGGAAUAUUGGACAAUGGGGGCAACCCUGAUCCAGCAAUGCCGCGUGUGUGAAGAAGGUCUUCGGAUUGUAAAGCACUUUCGACGGGGACGAUGAUGACGGUACCCGUAGAAGAAGCCCCGGCUAACUUCGUGCCAGCAGCCGCGGUAAUACGAAGGGGGCUAGCGUUGCUCGGAAUGACUGGGCGUAAAGGGCGUGUAGGCGGUUUACACAGUCAGAUGUGAAAUCCCCGGGCUUAACCUGGGAGCUGCAUUUGAUACGUGCAGACUAGAGUGUGAGAGAGGGUUGUGGA